AAUAUUGGACAAUGGGGGCAACCCUGCUCCAGCCACGCCGCGUGUGUGAAGAAGGUCUUCGUAUUGUAAAGCACUUUAAGUUGGGAGGAAGGGCUUUAGGUUAAUACCCUGCCGUUUUGACGUUACCAACUGAAUAAGCCCCGCCUACCACCGUCCCAGCAGCCGCGGUAAUACCGAGGGUGCAAGCGUUAAUCGGAAUUACUGGGCGUAAAGCGCGCGUAGGUGGGUCAGUAAGAUGGGUGUGAAAUCCCCGGGCUUAACCUGGGAACUGCUUUCAUAACUGGUGAGCUAGAGUACGGUAGAGGGUAGUGGAAUUUCCUGUGUAGCGGUGAAAUGCGUAGAUAUAGGAAGGAACACCAGUGGCGAAGGCGACUACCUGGACUGAUACUGACACUGAGGUGCGAAAGCGUGGGGAGCAA
rnacentral:rRNA from 1 species